rnacentral:misc_RNA from 1 species
UUAAGUUCAGCGGGUAUCCCUACCUGAUCCGAGGUCAACCUUAAAAAAUUGGGGUUGCUGGCAAGCACAAUCAAGACCCUAUAGCGAGAAAAAUUACUACGCGUAGAGCUUAAGAGCACCGCCACUGGUUUUAAGAGAGGCCAGUACUGGCCACCUCCAAGUCCACCACAAGGGUGAUUUGGUCGAUUUAUGACGCUCGA